AAGCGUUAAUCGGAAUUACUGGGCGUAAAGCGUGCGCAGGCGGUUAUAUAAGUCAGAUGUGAAAUCCCCGGGCUCAACCUGGGAACUGCAUUUGAGACUGUAUGGCUAGAGUGUGUCAGAGGGGGGUAGAAUUCCACGUGUAGCAGUGAAAUGCGUAGAUAUGUGGAGGAAUACCGAUGGCGAAGGCAGCCCCCUGGGAUAACACUGACGCUCAUGCACGAAAGCGUGGGGAGCAAACAGGAUUAGAUACCCUGGUAGUCCACGCCCUAAACGAUGUCUACUAGUUGUCGGGUCUUAAUUGACUUGGUAACGCAGCUAACGCGUGAAGUAGACCGCCUGGGGAGUAC
rnacentral:rRNA from 1 species